GACUUCGUGGUCGAGUGGUAAGGACACUUGUCUCCCAUCCUUGGGUCCCGGAUUCGAUCCCCGGUCGAGGGGUUA